rnacentral:rRNA from 1 species
AGAGUUUGAUCCUGGCUCAGAAUGAACGCUGGCGGCGUGCCUAACACAUGCAAGUCGAGCGAGAAAGUUCCUUCGGGAAUGAGUACAGCGGCGGACGGGUGAGUAACACGUAAGAAUCUGCCCCAUAGUGAAGAAUACCCUUGAGAAAUUGAGGUUAAUACUGCAUAAGUCCCUUCGGGGAGAAAGACGUCUUUUAUGUCGUCGCUAUAGGAUGAGCUUGCGGACUAUCAGCUUGUUGGUGAGGUAAAGGCUCACCAAGGCUAUGACGGUUAACCGGCCUGAGAGGGUGUACGGUCACAUAGGCACUGAGAUACGGGCCUGACUCCUACGGGAGGCAGCAGUGGGGAAUAUUGCGCAAUGGGCGAAAGCCUGACGCAGCGACGCCGCGUGGAGGAUGAAGGUCUUAGGAUUGUAAACUCCUGUCAGAUGGGAAGAAAGGCUUAUGUUUAAUAGACGUAAGAUAUGACGAUACCAUCAGAGGAAGCACCGGCUAACUUCGUGCCAGCAGCCGCGGUAAUACGAAGGGUGCGAGCGUUAUUCGGAAUCACUGGGCGUAAAGGGUGCGUAGAUGGUAUGUUAAGUUCGUUGUUAAAGGCUCCGGCCUAACUGGAGUAUUGCGAUGAAAACUGGCACACUAGAGGGUGAGAGAGAGAAGUGGAAUUCCCGGAGUAGCGGUAAAAUGCGUGGAUCUCGGGAGGAACACCAAUGGCGAAGGCAGCUUCUUGGCUCAUUCCUGACAUUGAGGCACGAAAGCGUGGGGAGCAAACAGGAUUAGAUACCCUAGUAGUCC